rnacentral:tRNA from 1 species
GGAGAGGUGCUAGAGCUGGUUGAAUAGGCCGGUCUCGAAAACCGGUGUGUCCUUGCGGGCACCGAGGGUUCGAAUCCCUCCCUCUCCGCCA